UGCCAGCAGCCGCGGUAAUACGUAUGUCGCAAGCGUUAUCCGGAUUUAUUGGGCGUAAAGCGCGUCUAGGCGGCUAGAUAAGUCUGAUGUGAAAAUGCGGGGCUCAACUCCGUAUUGCGUUGGAAACUGUAUAGCUAGAGUACUGGAGAGGUAAGCGGAACUACAAGUGUAGAGGUGAAAUUCGUAGAUAUUUGUAGGAAUGCCGAUGGGGAAGCCAGCUUACUGGACAGAUACUGACGCUGAAGCGCGAAAGCGUGGGUAGCAAACAGGAUUAGAUA
rnacentral:rRNA from 1 species